ACGGCAUCUCUGUGGCUCUGCAGGAGCCGCCUCUCCGCCUCGUGGGCACACAGAAUCGACAUCUAGAGGAGUAUUCACCACUUAAUUGAUGAUCAAUACACGUUCGUUGAAAGAACCGAUAGCAUGCGAUCGAUACAGAGCAUCUGCACUGGGAGUGUCCGCCCCGCCUGGCAGGGAGGCCUCGGGGGCUAAUGGAGCUGAGGGUAUAGUCGGCCUUGGACCCUCGCUUUUUUCCUUUCCUGUACCAUGAAGAUAACUGCCUUAUCUCCCCCUCAGGACUGUUUUGGGGAUUAAAUAGGACGUUUAAAU
rnacentral:lncRNA from 1 species